AUGGAAGAAAGCUCCAUGAAAAGAGAAGCCAUGCCCCGACUCCUGGAUCUCAUCCCAGACGAGAAAGAAUGGAGUCUGAGAGGAGGAGCACCAGGGCAGGCAAGAUCGAAAAACACAGGCUUCGGGAGCGAAGAGGACGAGAAACUGGAGCUGAAGCUUGGCCUUCCAGGCCUCGUAGAGGAGGAGCCAGCGGCCAGCUCAAGGGAGAACAACAGGGUGCAUCAGGAGAGCCCGGCCCUCUCCCUCGGGUACCCCCCUAGACACUCCACGACCAUCACCACGACCACCACCGGAGCAAAGAGGGGAUUCCUGGACACGGUUGAGGCCAAAGCACAAGGUUAUGAGAAGGAGCAGAAGCAGCAGGCGAGGGCAGCAGCAUGUGGGAAGGAACUGGCAGUGGAGGAAAAUACAGCUACCGUCGGUGAGAGGAAGAAAGGGUGCUGUCCCCCACCACCACCACCACAUGCCCCUCCUGCUACACCUGCGCGCAACAUCGGCAACAGACCGCAGGCGCGGGGAAGAGGGGCUGCAGCUCCAGUGGUCGGCUGGCCUCCAAUCCGGUCAUUCAGGAGAAACCUUGCAAGCACUAGUGCAUCCAAACAGCCCCCUGAACCGCAAAUCGGUGAAGCCAAUGCCAAGGCCGUUCUUGACUGCAAGAAAAGCCCUCUUGUAAAAAUCAACAUGGAUGGGAUCCCCAUUGGAAGGAAAGUUGAUCUUGCAGCAUGUGACAGCUACGAGAGACUUUCAUUGGCUGUCAAAGAUCUCUUCCACGGGUUUCUUCAAGUGCAAAGGGACCCGUCUAAGGUUGAACGUACACAGCAAGGAGCAGAUGAAAAUAUAUUUUCGCGGUUGCUAGACGGGUCCGGUGAAUAUACUCUAGUUUACGAAGACAGUGAAGGAGACAGGAUGCUGGUUGGGGAUGUCCCUUGGAAUGUGUUUGUCUCGACCGCUAAAAGGCUGAGGGUUCUGAGAAGCUCAGAGCUUUCCCAUGGUCUGAUUGGAGCUACUCCUGAGAGAACAGCACAUGGCUGA
rnacentral:rRNA from 1 species